CAUCAGCUCCUCCUCCGGCACCACCAUCGUCACCUGACUGCCUGUUCCUUGGCCAACAAGCUUGGUAGUGGUUGUCAUGGCAGUGUGUUGCUGAGCCAGGUAGCGGUUGUACAGAUGGUCUGGUGGUGUUGUGGAUGGUCUGGUGUUGUUGCAGAUGGCCUGACAUACACUAGCUGUCACUAAAGAGACUUGGCCGGCAGCAAGACCUGAGGCGAGGAAGAAGCUACCUUUGGGGGCCAGCCACUCCGAGAGAGAUCCCGGUCCAAGGCCACAGGGAGCGCCGUCACAGGGACCACACCAACCCAGGCACACAGGAGGCCCUGCACCAAGGUGUGGCCAAAACCGUCCAUGGGACAGCACCCCAGCGGCAGACCAGAGACAACUCCCAAUCUGGCAGGCCCCCAUAAGGAAACACUGGAGAUUAAUAACCGACAGAUUAAAACAGUAAAAUAAAGUAAAAAGCAUAGAGGCUAAAAACACAAGAGACUAAAACAUAAAAGUGUAGAGGCUAAAAACGUGAGGGACUGAAACAUUAAAAAAGGAUAAAGGACCAUUAAGACACUUAAAAACUAGUAAAAUACUAAUAAAAGCAUGCAUCACCCGUGCUGGCCUGAGAGAGAAACUGGUGGACUCUGGCUGUAUUCUUUAGAUGGUAAAAACCUUUGUAAUGUUUUUGAUGUGUGGAAUAAAACUGAACUCUCAGUCAGAAAUCACAACCAGAUUUUUUUUUUUUACAGAUUUUGAUGGUUUAAAAUCAUUUAACUUUGGUAAAAGUUUCUCUUCUCUGCUGCCAUCCAUGUCUUGAUAUCUAAAAUGUGGUUAAUAAUGACAUCAAUAGGCCCUGUGUCAUCAGGACACACAGCAGUACAGUUGUAUAUCGUCAGCAUAACUAUGAAAGCUGAUGCAGUGCCUCCUGAUGCUGUCCCCAAGUGGAAGCAUAUAAAGAUCAAAAAGAGUUGGACCUAAAAUUGAGGGUUUGUGGCCCCAGGCCGUGGUUUCUCCUGGCCAAGAUGGAGGAGAGGGAUUGGGCUGAACGAGUGGACCCGGAUCCUGGACUGGUGAGAGCCAUGACCAGCUGGGUGGGCAGGUCCCGGGGGCGAACCAGACAAAGCACCCACGGGAGGGAAAUCUUGCAGGAUGUUAAACCUGUUAUCCAGUGGCAGAUCCAGAGGCCGAGGAGGAGGAGAUGGAAGAGCCCCGGCGCUCCUGUGCGCCACUGUUCAGGGUUCCCCCAGCCUGAGUGAAGAUGAGCUCACCGGAGCCUCCACUACUUCCUCCCAGAUGAAGCACAGCAACUCUGCGGGAUGUAGGCAGGAGGUGGAGGGUGCCAAUGUCUUGGGCUUGGCUUGGCUAGUGCUGGUGCCGGAGUUUGGUUGGUGAUAGAGCCGGUCCAUGGCAAGGUGGUUUUGUCCGUGGUCGUCAUGCUCCGGUCACCAGCGCUGGAUGUUCUCAGGUGGGAUAUCAGCUUUGCCUGGGUCGUGGGGACAGUGGAGAAAUCCAAAAGGAUUUUGUCCUUCUGUUUGAGGUCAGCCUUCAGACCAGAGACCCUGUCCCUCAGGUUUGAGAGGAUGGGGAGGCAGGACCUGCACACUGCCAGCAUACCUGCAUACCGGCGAGGAGAUUGGGCGUCUGGUAAGCAGCUCCCAGAGCUACCUGUGGCUAGCUAGUUAGCUAACAUUAGCAAAGUUGAUGUGAGUAGGCAGGAGUGUUCUGUCCUGACUAAACAAACAUUGCAAUCUGUGUCACUAUUGUCAGAAAUAAUUUAAACCAGAUGAAUCCACAAUGAAAACUAGACACUCAACACACUCAACACACUCAGCACACAGAUGUAAACAUGGAAGUAA